AGCGUGUCCCCGUGGCCCUUGGGCGCCGCCAGCCCCACGUCGUCCCGCAGCUCCUCGGGCGGCACCUCCAGGUUGCCCGCGUACCAGAACACCCACCAGAUGAGGCUGAGGAAGAUGCCGAUGCCGCCCGCGUAGAUGAGCAGGUCGGAGAAGAACACGUCGGCGAACACGCCCGCCAGCAGCACCGCCAGCCCCAGCGCGUCGAACGCCAGCGCCAGCCAGAAGGCGGCCACGCAACGGCCGAGCCCGCCCGGGGCCGCCAUCGGAGCGGCGCCGCCGCCUCGGGCCGCCCGCACGUGAGGGGAGGCGGGCGGGAGUGGCGGGAGGGCGGCGCCCACCUGAGGGCACGUCCGGGCCGAGCCCCCCGCACCUGAGGGCACGGCCGGGACACGUUCUCCCUCCCUGAGGGCACCGCCAGGCCCCGCCCCCGCCUGCACCUGAGGGGGCGCCCAGGCCACGCCCCCCACACCUGAGGGCACCUCCAGCUCCCGCCCCGGUGAGGCGGGAACGCGCUGCCCUCAGGCGGCCCCGCCGCCCCCGCGGUGGGUGCUGAAGGCGUUUAAGGUUGAUCUGUAGCGACCGAAGGCAUUCAGGGGCCGGGGCGUCCCUUGGAAGUGGCGGUCGCUGCCGCUUCCGUGUGCAGAUGGAAGAAACAACAGUACUGCGACCAUAAUGCAGGAACACCCUCAACUGUUCUGGUAGCAGAAAAAAAGCCCACAAGUGAAGCUUCAGGAUUGAAAGGCACAUACCUUGUAACUGGCAACCCAAAGAAUCAGUAUUCUCUGUGCCUAAGGAUGGCGCAGCCCAGCUUCCAAUUACACCAAAAGUGGGGCUAAAGCGGCUCUCGCUGAAGGCACGGGAGCAGCCAGGAGCGGGCCGUGGCAGCCAAAUCCCUCACGCUCGGCAUUACCAAAGUGCUCUUUCCCAAACCAAAGGACACGAGCAACCCCUGUACCCACACAGCCGCCGGUGAGUUUCUUACAUUCUGAUGAGUUUUGCCUCCCGCGGGACCUUCCAGACCGUCACCAGCAGGUGAACACUCUCGUUCUCGUUGAGCAGCAGCGCGUCUCCCUUGGCCUUGCUCCUGGCGAAAGCGAGGAGAGCCUCCACUGCCUUCUUCACCUGCAACGGCACCAGCCGUGGAUAAACCCCAGCCCGGCCCGGCCCCGCUCCAGGUGCUCCCCCCCGGCUCCCCGCGGUACCUGGGCGCUCUCCAGCAGCUCUCUCCGUCCCGCCAUGGUCCCGCCGGUGCCACGUGCGGCCGCUGCGCCUGCGCGGGCUCCUCUUUCCGGGUCACGGCGGGGCCCGUCCGGGGCGGGGCGGUGCGGGGAGGGCGAGGCCCACGGGUCCCUCUGGUCCGGGACAGGGGCCGGGGGUGUUUCCCGGGAGCAUCGUUCCCGUCCUCGGAGCCAGCCUUGUCCCAGAAUGUCACGGGCUAAUCGAGUUUGGAGCAGAGCUCCGGAGGCCGUCAGUCCGUCCCGCCCCGGCUGCAGCGCCAGCCGGAGGUCAGGCGGGGAUGCUCAGGGCUGUGUCCAGCCCGACCUUCCCAGCUCCAGGGAUGGAGGCUGUGCCAAUGCCCGAGUGUCUCAGUGCUCCAUUUGUUUCUGGACUUCGGGUAGAGGACAAGCCAUUGUCUUUACCCUGUUGUCCAAACAGUUGCUACCCAUGUCUUCAGAUUCCUUCUUUGAAACCUAUCCCUGAUUUUAUCUCCUGUAUUACUGUCCUUUUGCACUGGAGUGCUGUUGUAAGUUCCCUGUUUUCCUGUGUAUCAGGAGGAACUGUUUUUAUGAUUGGAGAAGGAUGUCCUUAAAGAACUGCUGCCAGCUUCCCUGAGCAACUUUCAGAGCUGCCUUCCGUGGGAUCUUGCCUGGUGUCCCAAGUAUGUCCCAUGGAGUCCAGGGCCUGCCUUCUGCUCCUCAUCUUCCUCACACUCUGUGUCUUGAACUCUGCUAUUUCCAGGUCACUGCCAUUGAGGCAGCCACUGAUUAUCACAUGCUAAACCAUUUCUUCCUCAUGUGUGACUAAUAAAGGCACAAUUGCUGCAUCUGCUGUUCAGUUUGGGAAUGCACUGUCUGACUACAUGGAAGUAGCUUAAUUUUAGGAUGCUUAUCCCGUUGAGUUCCAUGCUGAAUAAAUACAUUGUUCUGAGAUAAAAUCUGGCCUGGAAUUAUUUUGCCCUCAUUCCCACAGUGCUGUGUGUGCCUUGGCAGCUUUGCCUUGUCUGCAUUCAUCACACAGGUAAGCUGCUACCUGGGUAACACAGCUAUGCAUCACCAGGGUUUAAAUAUGCAUGUAAUUAGGAGUCUGAGUCAUUCACUCAUCUCUAGAUCUUUUCUUGCCCUUUGCCUUUCUAUUUAUGGUUUUAUUCUUUCUCAUCAGAUGUCUUCCAACAAAAUCUGUUGCUCCAUCAGCAUGCAAAGAGAAAGUACAAAGAGAAAGAAACUAAAAUACCCUAGUUUCCUGACAAACUGCUUCACGUAGUGGUUUAUAUUUUCAUUCUACUGUUAGUGUUUUUUAGAGCAACAGUGGAAUAGUUGAUGGCUUCAAGACAUAUCCAGACUUAUGAAAGAACUAUAUGGACAUAAACUGAUUUUAAAGAGUGGGGGAAAAAAAAUCCUAUUGUGAUAUUUGAACAAAAUAAAUGAAACUGUCUAAGAAAAAGAAAA